rnacentral:rRNA from 1 species
CAGGCCUAACACAUGCAAGUCGAACGAAGGCUUCGGCCUUAGUGGCGCACGGGUGCGUAACGCGUGGGAAUCUGCCCUUGGGUUCGGAAUAACAGUUAGAAAUGACUGCUAAUACCGGAUGACGACGUAAGUCCAAAGAUUUAUCGCCGAGGGAUGAGCCCGCGUAGGAUUAGCUAGUUGGUGUGGUAAAGGCGCACCAAGGCGACGAUCCUUAGCUGGUCUGAGAGGAUGAUCAGCCACACUGGGACUGAGACACGGCCCAGACUCCUACGGGAGGCAGCAGUGGGGAAUAUUGGACAAUGGGCGAAAGCCUGAUCCAGCAAUGCCGCGUGAGUGAUGAAGGCCUUAGGGUUGUAAAGCUCUUUUACCCGGGAUGAUAAUGAC